rnacentral:rRNA from 1 species
AUUGAACGCUGGCGGCAGGCCUAACACAUGCAAGUCGAGCGGAUGAAGGGAGCUUGCUCCUGGAUUCAGCGGCGGACGGGCGAGUAAUGCCUAGGAAUCUGCCUGUUAGUGGGGGAUAACGUCCGGAAACGGGCGCUAAUACCGCAUACGUCCUGAGGGAGAAAGUGGGGGAUCUUCGGACCUCACGCUAUCAGAUGAGCCUAGGUCGGAUUAGCUAGUUGGUGGGGUAAAGGCCUACCAAGGCGACGAUCCGUAACUGGUCUGAGAGGAUGAUCAGUCACACUGGAACUGAGACACGGUCCAGACUCCUACGGGAGGCAGCAGUGGGGAAUAUUGGACAAUGGGCGAAAGCCUGAUCCAGCCAUGCCGCGUGUGUGAAGAAGGUCUUCGGAUUGUAAAGCACUUUAAGUUGGGAGGAAGAGCAGUAAGUUAAUACCUUGCUGUUUUGACGUUACCAACAGAAUAAGCACCGGCUAACUUCGUG